GCCUUGCAGGAUAAUGAUGUGAUCGCGUAUUUUCUUGUUGGUCUUGGCCUUGACUAUGAUCCCUUCGUCACCUCGAUGACUACCAAGAGUGAAGUCCUCAAGCUUGAUGAUGUGUUUGUACAUCUAAUGGCAUUUGAAG